rnacentral:rRNA from 1 species
GAUGAACGCUGGCGGCGUGCCUAAUACAUGCAAGUCGAGCGAACAGACGAGGAGCUUGCUCCUCUGACGUUAGCGGCGGACGGGUGAGUAACACGUGGAUAACCUACCUAUAAGACUGGGAUAACUUCGGGAAACCGGAGCUAAUACCGGAUAAUAUAUUGAACCGCAUGGUUCAAUAGUGAAAUACGGUUUUGCUGUCACUUAUAGAUGGAUCCGCGCCGCAUUAGCUAGUUGGUAAGGUAACGGCUUACCAAGGCAACGAUGCGUAGCCGACCUGAGAGGGGGAUCGCCCCCACUGGAACUGAGCCACGGUCCAGACUCCUACGGGCGGCAGCGGUAGGGAAUCUUCCGCAAUGGGCGAAAGCCUGCCGGAGCAACGCCGCGUGGGUGGUGUAGGUCUUCGGAUCGUAAAACUCUGUUAUUAGGGAAGAACAAAUGUGUAAGUAACUAUGCACGUCUUGACGGUACCUAAUCAGAAAGCCACGGCUAACUACGUG